UUGGAGGGCAAGUCUGGUGCCAGCAGCCGCGGUAAUUCCAGCUCCAAUAGCGUAUAUUAAAGUUGUUGCAGUUAAAAAGCUCGUAGUUGAAUUUCGGGGUCAGCAGGUUGGUCGUGCCACUGGUAUGCACUGGCUUCGCUGAUUCCUCCUUCUUGAAGAACUGUAAUGUCAUUAAUUUGGUGUUGCAGGGAAACAGGACUGUUACUUUGAAAAAAUUAGAGUGUUUAAAGCAGGCUUAACGCUUGAAUACAUUAGCAUGGAAUAAUGAAAUAGGACGUUUGAUCCUAUUUUGUUGGUUUCUAGGAUUGACGUAAUGAUUAAUAGGGAUAGUUGGGGGCAUUAGUAUUCAAUUGUCAGAGGUGAAAUUCUUGGAUUUAUUGAAGACUAACUACUGCGAAAGCAUUUGCCAAGGAUGUUUUCAUUAAUCAAGAACGAAAGUUAGGGGAUCGAAGACGAUCAGAUACCGUCGUAGUCUUAACCAUAAACUAUGCCGACUAGGGAUCGGAUGAUGUUAAUUUUUUAAUGACUCAUUCGGCGCCUUACGAAAC
rnacentral:rRNA from 1 species